rnacentral:rRNA from 1 species
CGCCUGCCGGCGACCGGCGCACGGGUGAGUAACACGUACGCGACCUGCCCCCGCAGGGGGAUAACCGGGAGAAAUCCCGACUAAUACCGCGUAACGCCGCGGACCUGCAUGGGUCUGCGGCCAAAGGAAGCGAUUCCGGCGGGGAUGGGCAUGCGGCGCAUUAGCUAGUCGGCGGGGUAACGGCCCACCGAGGCGACGAUGCGUAGGGGUUCUGAGAGGAAGGUCCCCCACACUGGUACUGAGACACGGACCAGACUCCUACGGAAGGCAGCAG